AGAGUUUGAUCAUGGCUCAGGAUGAACGCUAGCUACAGGCUUAACACAUGCAAGUCGAGGGGAAACGACAUCGAAAGCUUGCUUUUGAUGGGCGUCGACCGGCGCACGGGUGAGUAACGCGUAUCCAACCUGCCCACCACUUGGGGAUAACCUUGCGAAAGUAAGACUAAUACCCAAUGAUAUCUCUAGAAGACAUCUGAAAGAGAUUAAAGAUUUAUUGGUGAUGGAUGGGGAUGCGUCUGAUUAGCUUGUUGGCGGGGUAACGGCCACAAGGCGACGAUCAGUAGGGGUUCUGAGAGGAAGGUCCCCCANAUUGGAACUGAGACACGGUCCAAACUCCUACGGGAGGCA
rnacentral:rRNA from 1 species